rnacentral:rRNA from 1 species
GACGAACGCUGGCGGCGUGCUUAACACAUGCAAGUCGAACGGUGAAGCGCCUUCCUUUUUGGUGGGUGUGGAUGAGUGGCGAACGGGUGAGUAACACGUGAGUAACCUGCCCCCUUCUUCUGGAUAACCGCAUGAAAGUGUGGCUAAUACGGGAUAUUCUGGGUCUGUCGCAUGAUGGGUCUGGGACAGAUAUUGUUUCGGUGGGGGAUGGGCUCGCGGCCUAUCAGCUUGUUGGUGGGGUGAUGGCCUACCAAGGCGGUGACGGGUAGCCGGCCUGAGAGGGUGGACGGUCACACUGGGACUGAGACACGGCCCAGACUCCUACGGGAGGCAGCAGUGGGGAAUAGUGCACAAUGGGCGCAAGCCUGAUGCAGCGACGCCGCGUGAGGGAUGGAGGCCUGCGGGUUGUGAACCUCUUUCGCCAGUGAAGCAGGCCUGCCUCGUUUGUGGGUGGGUUGACGGUAGCUGGAUAAGAAGCGCCGGCUAACUACGUG